rnacentral:rRNA from 1 species
GUUCUGUAAGCCGAUGAAGGUGGAUUGAGAAGUCUGCUGGAGGUAUCAGAAGUGCGAAUGCUGACGUGAGUAACGACAAUGCGAGUGAAAAACUCGCACGCUGAAAGACCAAGGGUUCCAGUCCAACGUUAAUCGGGGCUGGGUGAGUCGACCCCUAAGGCGAGGCCGAAAGGCGUAGUCGAUGGGAAAAUGGUUAAUAUUCCAUUACUUCUGUGUAAUGCGAUGAGAGGACGGAGAAGGCUAAAUCAGCCUGGCGUUGGUUGUCCAGGUGAAAGGAUGUAGGCAUGUAUCUUAGGCAAAUCCGGGGUACUCUAUGCUGAGAUCUGAUAGCAAGCUGUACUUGUACAGCGAAGUGGUUGAUGCCAUGCU